UACAGAGGGUGCAAACGUUGCUCGGAAUCAUUGGGCGUAAAGCGCACGUAGGCGGCCUAGCAAGUAGGGAGUGAAAGCCCUCGGCUCAACCGAGGAAGUGCACCCGAAACUGCAGAGCUAGAGUCUCGGAGAGGAUCGUGGAAUUCUCGGUGUAGAGGUGAAAUUCGUAGAUAUCGAGAGGAACACCGGUGGCGAAGGCGGCGAUCUGGACGAUGACUGACGCUGAGACGCGAAAGCGUGGGGAGCAAACAGG
rnacentral:rRNA from 1 species